rnacentral:rRNA from 1 species
CGGGGGGGGCAAGCGUUGUUCGGAAUUACUGGGCGUAAAGGGCUUGUAGGUGGCCAACUAAGUCAAACGUGAAAUCCCUCAGCUUAACUGGGGAACUGCGUCUGAUACUGGAUGGCUUGAGUUUGGGAGAGGGAUGCGGAAUUCCAGGUGUAGCGGUGAAAUGCGUAGAUAUCUGGAGGAACACCGGUGGCGAAGGCGGCAUCCUGGACCAAUACUGACACUGAAAAGCGAAAGCCAGGGGAGCAAACGGGAUUAGAUACCCCGGUAGUCCUGGCCCUAAACGAUGAAUGCUUGGUGUGGCGGGUAUCGAUCCCUGCCGUGCCGAAGCUAACGCAUUAAGCAUUCCCGCCUGGGGAGUACGGUCGCAAGGCUAG